GGGAUUUGCCACCAUUCAAUUGUGCACGAGGAGGGUUCUGUAGACCCGGGUGGUCCCGCUGUACAUACUCGGAGUGUCGAGGAUCUGUGGAUGCGUGCGGGGGGAGGAUUAAAGCGGCAAUUCGGGACGGGUGACAUUUUAUUUAAAUCUUGUUUGGACGAAUUUAUAUUUCGAAAUUUAUGUGGAGGGAACGAUGUUUUUUCUCACUUUAUGAUAGCUGUUGCCGAGAGUUGUGCAGGAUGGGUUUCAGUGGCGAGGGAUGUUCGGCACAAGCAUGGCGGCAUCACGAUGGUUGGGUUCUAUAUAAGAUUUUUUUUUCGGAUUAUUAUAUGA
rnacentral:lncRNA from 1 species